rnacentral:rRNA from 1 species
UACGGGGGGGGCAAGCGUUGUUCGGAAUUACUGGGCGUAAAGGGCUCGUAGGCGGCCCUCUCAGUCGGAUGUGAAAUCCCCAGGCUCAACUUGGGAACGGCAUCCGAUACUGGAGGGCUUGAAAUUCGGGAGAGGGAUGCAGAAUUCCAGGUGUAGCGGUGAAAUGCGUAGAUAAUCAGGAGGAACACCGAUGGCGAAAGGGCAGGUCUCUGGGCUGUAACUGACGCUGAGGAGCGAAAGCAUGGGAGCGAACAGG